rnacentral:lncRNA from 12 species
CUGCAAUCUGUUUGCUAAUUGUAGUUUCAGAUCCAGCAAACAUUAGGAUCCACCUCCUUUGAGCCAAAUGCUUUAGAUAAUUUGUUUAAUCUCAUCACAAGUGUGUGAAGUAAGUGAUGAAAACAUCACUCAUUUUAAAGAUGAAGGAUUUGAAACCCAACGAGGUUAAAUAAUUCACUCAAUUUAUUGCAACUAGCAUAGAAAAGACCUUCAAACUGAAGCUCUCUGACUGGCUACUCAAUAACAUCCUGAGCCUUUCAUUACACAUAAAAUCAACUAAGAAAGAAAAUGGAUUCAUAACUUGUGUUUGAGAGGAAAGAAAACCCCAGUGACCUCUUCCACAUAAGAUGGGUAAGAAAUCAUUUUAAUUCAAUUUGGAGUAAGUAAUGAAUUCAAUUUAUUAAAAUUGCUUAUAUUCUUUGAGAAAGUUGAAUACAAAUAAAACAAAACUAAUAAGUCA